CCUUUGGAGUGCGAUAUCAAACAUUAGUAGCUCGAACGAAAGUAAGGGCGAGGACGCGCACGUUGAAAAAGGAA
rnacentral:ncRNA from 1 species